rnacentral:lncRNA from 1 species
UCCACAGCCUUGCUAAUGAGUACGACAUUCCUUCUAAUAUUCUUGUUUGUGGCAAAGCUGUUGGUCAUCACCCUUAAUAUGAUCCACCGUCUCUUUAAUACAUGAUCAGUCAUGCUGGUAUGACUGCAAGAGUGAGCAGAGAGAUUAAAAGAAGAGAAAAGUGUGCGGAUUCUUUAUUUGUACAUCUUAGAAAUGUUUAAAUGGAGUAUAUCCAUAGACAUGUAUGGUUAAAAUGUUAUGGUGUUAGCCUGAAAUGCUUUUUACUCAAUUUUUCAAAGGUUUUAUAAAUUCAGUCCCUGAUACAUGAUGCCUGCUGCUUUCUGUUUCAUGUUCAUGCUUGUGGUUCGGUUAUGUAAAUUGUGAAACAAGUAUCCAAAAUUAUGACCGUCUUUAAUUGGGAUUGUCAUUUUGAGUUAAUAUGAAUUUAGUCCAUUUAAAUCAUAUAGCAAACUGACAUGAACUAACUAUAUUGGAACAAGUGUUAAAAAUUUUUAUUGUACAUUUUUACGUCAGCCCUUAAACAGUGAACAAAAAUCAUGAUAUGCUUCAAAUUGUAAGUUUACUUGUGCCAUUACUACUAUUGCAAAAUUCAAAGAGCCCUAGCGUGGUAAUUAUUCGAUUGAUUAUAUAUGCUGGCCACUUAUGACCUGCCAAAUUUCAGAUUUUAGCUUUCACUUGCACAUAUAAAGAAGUGCUACACCAACAAAAUCAUUAGUUGCUUUCAAGCAUCAAAACUCACCAUGAUCAACAAUGGUUAGGCGCUUCUCAAAUCGUUGCUGCUGAAACGACAACUAUUUGAUUGCGAAACAAAUAUUGCUGAAAUCUGUCAAAGAAUUUGUCUCAGACUGUUGAUAAUAAAGAUGAAUAUAAAUGAAAAUAAAAUAAAAUAAAAAUAAAGUAUGAGUCGUGUAUAUACAAAUAAGACUGAAAAAAUUCUAGUAUGAUCACGAACUUUGAAAACGAGUGCCCAGAAAGAAU